rnacentral:snoRNA from 2 species
UGAUGAAGUGACGGUUUUCUGAGUCGUGAAGACCAUUCCCCUCACUGAGGCA